rnacentral:rRNA from 1 species
GACGAACGCUGGCGGCGUGCCUAUUACAUGCAAGUAGGACGCACAGUUUAUACCGUAGCUUGCUACACCAUAGACUGUGAGUUGCGAACGGGUGAGUAACGCGUAGGUAACCUGCCUAUUAGAGGGGGAUAACUAUUGGAAACGAUAGCUAAUACCGCAUAACAGUAUGUAACACAUGUUAGAUGCUUGAAAGAUGCAAUUGCAUCGCUAGUAGAUGGACCUGCGUUGUAUUAGCUAGUAGGUAGGGUAAAGGCCUACCUAGGCAACGAUACAUAGCCGACCUGAGAGGGUGAUCGGCCACACUGGGACUGAGACACGGCCCAGACUCCUACGGGAGGCAGCAGUAGGGAAUCUUCGGCAAUGGGGGGAACCCUGACCGAGCAACGCCGCGUGAGUGAAGAAGGUUUUCGGAUCGUAAAGCUCUGUUGUUAAGGAAGAACGAGUGUGAGAAUGGAAAGUUCAUAACUGGG